rnacentral:rRNA from 1 species
CUUUCUUUGCUGGCGACCGGCGCACGGGUGAGUAACACGUAUCCAACCUGCCGAUGACUCGGGGAUAGCCUUUCGAAAGAAAGAUUAAUACCCGAUGGCAUAGUUCUUCCGCAUGGUAGAAUUAUUAAAGAAUUUCGGUCAUCGAUGGGGAUGCGUUCCAUUAGGUUGUUGGCGGGGUAACGGCCCACCAAGCCUUCGAUGGAUAGGGGUUCUGAGAGGAAGGUCCCCCACAUUGGAACUGAGACACGGUCCAAACUCCUACGGGAGGCAGCAUG